CGGGGCGUAGCGCAGCAUGGUUAGCGCGCUUGGUUCGGGACCAAGAGGCCGGUGGUUCAAAUCCACUCGCCCCGA
rnacentral:tRNA from 1 species